UACGUAGGGUCCGAGCGUUGUCCGGAAUUAUUGGGCGUAAAGGGCUCGUAGGCGGUUCGUCACGUCGGGAGUGAAAACUCGGGGCUUAACCCCGAGCCUGCUUCCGAUACGGGCAGACUAGAGGUAGGCAGGGGAGAGCGGAACUCCUGGUGUAGCGGUGGAAUGCGCAGAUAUCAGGAAGAACACCAAUAGCGAAGGCAGCUCGCUGGGACGUUACUGACACUGAGGCGCGAAAGCGUGGGGAGCGAACAGG
rnacentral:rRNA from 1 species